UACGAAGGGUGCAAGCGUUAAUCGGAAUUACUGGGCGUAAAGGGUGCGUAGGCGGUUGUUUAAGUCUGUCGUGAAAACCCCGGGCUCAACCUGGGAAUGGCGAUGGAUACUGGGCAGCUAGAGUGUGUCAGAGGAUGGUGGAAUUCCCGGUGUAGCGGUGAAAUGCGUAGAGAUCGGGAGGAACAUCAGUGGCGAAGGCGGCCAUCUGGGACAACACUGACGCUGAAGCACGAAAGCGUGGGGAGCAAACAGG
rnacentral:rRNA from 1 species